CAGGCCUAACACAUGCAAGUCGAACGAGAAAUCUCGAGCUUGCUCGAGAGAGUACAGUGGCGCACGGGUGAGUAACGCGUGGGUAACCUGCCCUUAAGCCCGGGAUAAUCCACCGAAAGGUGGCCUAAUACCGGAUACCUUCACGAGAACCCCGGUUAUUCGGGAUGAAAGCUGACCGAUUGAUUGAAAGUUGGCGCUUAGGGAGGGGCGAGCGUACCAUUAGCUUGUUGGUAGGGUUAAUGGCCUACCAAGGCUACGAUGGUUAGCUGGGAUGAGAAGACAACCAGCCACACUGGAACUAGAGACACGGGACCAGCCGACUAACGGGAGGCAGCAGUGAGGAAGCUUGCGCAAUGGGGGAAACCCUGACGCAGCGACGCCGCGUAGGGUGAAGAAGGCCUAGACGGGGAGGAAAGCCCUGGACAAGUGGGAAGACACGGACCUGGAGUAAAUGGCGGCAGGGAUAGAAGGGACCAUAAAGGAAGCACCGGCGAACGACCGUGCCAGCAGCCGCGG
rnacentral:rRNA from 1 species